rnacentral:rRNA from 1 species
UACAGAGGUCUCAAGCGUUGUUCGGAUUCAUUGGGCGUAAAGGGUGCGUAGGUGGCGGGGUAAGUCAGGUGUGAAAUCUCGGAGCUCAACUCCGAAACUGCACUUGAUACUGCCUUGCUCGAGUACUGGAGAGGAGAUUGGAAUUUACGGUGUAGCAGUGAAAUGCGUAGAUAUCGUAAGGAAGACCGGUGGCGAAAGCUAGUCUCUGGACAGUCACUGACACUGAGGCACGAAGGCCAGGGGAGCAAACGGG